GGUUGCAAUCGCCUUGUUAUUAAUUCUGAUAAUUUGGAGGUUACUGAAAUGAUGAAUAAUGGCGGACGGUCAGCAGGAGCCGCGGCGGCAAUUUUUGAUGAUUGCUAUUUUUUGGCGUGUGAUUUUACUACCUCUAGGUUUGAACAUUGUAAUAGGGAAGCCAAUAAGGUUGCGCACGAGCUUGCUAGGUUGGCUAGAUUUUCUUCUACUGUUGAUUGGUUUGAGGAGCCUAUGAUUGAGAUUGUAUCAUUCCUCACAAACGAUGUAUCUGUUAUUUCGGUUGAAUAA
rnacentral:rRNA from 1 species